UACGUAGGGGGCAAGCGUUGUCCGGAUUCAUUGGGCGUAAAGAGCGUGUAGGCGGCCAGGUAGGUCGGUUGUGAAAACUGGAGGCUCAACCUUCAGAGGUCGACCGAAACCAUCUGGCUAGAGUCCGGGAGAGGAGAGUGGAAUUCCUGGUGUAGCGGUGAAAUGCGCAGAUAUCAGGAAGAACACCCGUGGCGAAAGCGGCUCUCUGGACCAUAACUGACGCUGAGGCGCGAAAGCUAGGGGAGCAAACAGG
rnacentral:rRNA from 1 species